rnacentral:rRNA from 1 species
UCUAGUUGAUUUGGCAGUAGUAAUAUGUUUGUCUCAAAGAUUAAGCCAUGCAUGUGAAACUAUGAACUAAUUCAGAUUGUGUAAUUGUGAAUGGCUCAUUAAAUCAAUUAUAGUUGUUUAAUGGUAUCUAUUACUCGGAUAACCAUAAUAAUUCUAGAGCUAAUAUAGGCAACAAACCUUAACUUUUGAAAAAGAUGCAUUUAUUAGAAAAAAGGUUGAAGUGGGCUUUGCCUAUUAGUUUGAUAAUUCAUGAUAACUUGAUGAAUCACAUAGCCUUUGUGCCAAUGACACAUAACUUAAAAUUUUACCUUAUCCACUUUCAAUGGUAGGAUAGUGGCCUACUAUGGUGGAAUAGGUGACAGAGAAUUAGGAUUCAAUUCUAAAGAAGGAGCCUGAGCAAUGGCUACCACAUCUAAAUAAGGUAGUAGGUGCAUAAAUUACCCAAUCCUAACAUAGAGAGGUAGUGACAAUAAAUAACAAUAUUAGGAUUUAUGAGUCUGGUAACUAGAAUGAGUACAAUCUAAAUCCCUUAAUGAUGAUCAAUUGAGGGCAAGUCUGGUGCUAGCAGUCACAAUAAUUUUAUCUCCAAUAGCAUUUAUUUAAAUUGUUACAGUUAAAAAGCUAGUAGUUAAAACUAGGGUUAGGUUAUUUCGUUUGCCUCAUAGUGAGAACUGAUAUAUUUAUCCCUACUAUCGGUGAUGCACUCCUAACCUUAAUUGGCUAGGUUAUUCAUCUGGGACUAUUACUUUGAAAAAAUUAGAGUGCUCAAAGUAGGCCUACACUUGUAUACAUUAGCAUGGGAUAACAUCAUAGGAUUUUGAUCCUAUUGUGUUAACCUUUGGGAUCAGAGUAAUGAUUAAUAAAGACAAUCAAAGGCAUUCAUAUUUCAUAGUCAAAGGUGAAAUUAUUGAAUUUAAGAAAGAUGAACAACUAUGAAAGCAUUUACCAAGGAUGUUUUCAUCAAUCAAGAAUGAAAGUUGAAGGCUAAAAAAUGAUCAGAUACUAUCCUAAUCUCAACCAUAAAUGAUACUGACCAGGGAUCAAUGGAUAUUACUUUUAGGACUCUACCGACACCUUAUGAGAAUCAAACUCUUUGGGUUCUAGAGAGAGUAUGGUCGUGAGUUUGAAACUUAAAGGGAUUGAUGAAAGUACACCACCAAAAGUAGAGCCUGUAGCUUAAUUUGACUCAAUAUAGGGAAACUUACUAGGUCUAGACAUACUGAGGAUUGAUGGACUAAGAGCUCUUCUUGACUCUAUUAGUGGUAGUGCAUGGCCAUUCUUAGUUGGUAGAGCAAAUGAUAUCACAGCUUGCUAACUAGCUAUGCAAAGGUGAUUCUUCAUGGCUAGCUUCUUAGAGGGACUAUGGUCACUUAGGCCAAGGAAGUUUGAGGUAAUAACAGGUCUACAAUGCUCGUAGAAGUUCUAAGCCACAUGUGUGCUACACUGAUGUAUUAACGAAUCCAUAGCGUUGGCCAACAAGCUAGGUAAUCCUUGAAAUUUAAUUAUGAUGGGAUAGAUCAUUGUAAAUGUUGGUUUUCAAUGAGGAAUUCCUUGUGAGCAUGAGUCAUCAGCUUGCAUUAACUACAUUCCUACCUUUUGUACACAUCGCUCAUUGCUCCUACCAAUUGAAUGUUCUGGCAAAGUGUUCAAAAAUAGGGAGGUAGUGACAAUAACUAACAAUACUGGGCUCUAUGAGUUUGGCAAUUAGAAUUAGUAUAAUUUAAAUCCCUUAAUGAGGAUCC